rnacentral:rRNA from 1 species
AGGCAGCAGUGGGGAAUAUUGCACAAUGGGCGCAAGCCUGAUGCAGCCAUGCCGCGUGUGUGAAGAAGGCCUUCGGGUUGUAAAGCACUUUCAGUCGUGAGGAAGGUGGUAGUGUUAAUAGCACUAUCAUUUGACGUUAGCGACAGAAGAAGCACCGGCUAACUCCGUGCCAGCAGCCGCGGUAAUACGGAGGGUGCGAGCGUUAAUCGGAAUUACUGGGCGUAAAGCGCAUGCAGGUGGUUUGUUAAGUCAGAUG